AAAACCCUAGAUCGGCCCCGACGUAUCCUCUUUCUCGUCUCCGCCUCCCCACUCCCGCUCUGAGCCGCCUCCUGCUCCUCUCUCCUGCUCCUCUCCUCUCUCCAGCUCCAGCGCAGGAAGAGCGGCGCUCGAGCGACCGCGGCGGAUGGACGCGGGGGCAGUCAGGGAGCCGACGCGGAUGGACGCGGAUGGUCUGCGGCGGCUGGACGCGGGGGCCGACGCGGGGGCCGGCGACAGCGUCGUCUGGAUGCGGCGGCGGCUGGGCGUCUCUCCCUGGCUCCCCAAUCCCGUCUCUCCUCCUCCGCCCCUCUCUCCCCGCCCCAGCCCCAUGUGAGGCCGGAGAGGGCAAUCCCAGGCCGGAGUCGCGGGAGCUUGCCACCGAUGUGCAGCUCGUCCGCCUGUGGGGGGCCCGCCGGAAGCUUCCUCCUCGACAGAUGCUGGUGCAGAGCAGAGCGACGAGCCGCCGGAGCAGAUGAGCUUUUGCUUCCUCUCUCUGUCUCCCCUAGAUUUCCUUGCUGGUACUUUGUUGUGUUUUUGUGCUGUUGCUUUGUGGGCUACUUCUGCUACUCGUGCUGCUAUAUGUGCGUGUUUCUGGUUGUAAAUGUGGUUAGUGCCGUUGUGUACUGCUAGAUCUACUACUGCCAAGCCUGGCUGCUGCCUUUGCUGCUGCUCGUUGCUUCCUUAAUCGAUGUGUGAAACUGAAAACUCUUUGUGAGGAUCAAGGAUUGAGGAAAAGGCCAUAUAUAUUGUUGCUAACAUUUUGUCUGAUGACAGCAAGAGUACGAGAGCAAGACUUGUUGGAUGUUUGCCAAGGAUAAUUUUUGCACCUCAUAUUUUCAAGAAUAUCUGGGUAGAUUUAAUGAUAUGUCCAUUAGAGGUCGGGUAGACUUGCAGCCUGAAGGUGUGGAGGUACCUCACAGCCUUGUUGACAAGGGCAUGCAAAGGCAUGAUCAAGAUUAUGGCAGACGAUAAAGUUAUUUGGCUGAAUCCUCUUAUAUGAAGCAAGUGCAAUGUCCGACAUUACCGGGACUUCACCUGCCGGGAUGCAUCAUGAGAAGGUGGAGCUGGCGUCGUCGUAGGCAUAGUUGUACGCUGCCUCCCAGGUUGAGCAUGGCUGCUCACUGGCAACCAGGAUUCGACGGCGGUGAAGAUCUAGUACCUUGGAAGAAUAAAGCACCAGGAUGUGCCCGCGUUGGAGGCAAAGAACAUGGAGGUUGUGGUCUGCGGUUGCGAUUCAGCUCGCUCGAGCAAGGCAGCAAUGGAUCCUUCUUCGCCUAGAAAUGGCCAAUUCUGUCAAGACAUCAUUUCCAAAUACAGAGUAUUCUGUCCAUCCAAAUUGGUGCAUCUAGCCAAACAAUUCUUGAUGUUGCUUUGAGCUAGCUGCAUGGUUCAGAGAUGGUUCUUCAUUUCGGCUUCUCUUCAUUUGUGGCUUGUACUGGCUGCUUCUUUCAGAGCUUAUGUGCGCCAAUAAGUAGAGGAUGCUGAAGGCGCUGAUGGCUUACAUAGCGGGCUACCCCAUUAUGUCCGAUGUCGUUUACGAGAAGCUCAAGCUCAGACUGAAGGUACCUUGGGCUCUGCUUCAAUAAUACUCUGUUCUCUGAAUGGGACUAGGACAUGCUAAAGAAGCGAAGUUAAAUGGGUCUCCCGAAGGCGGAAAUCAAAGCAUGUGCAAUGUAUUUCAUUGUCACAAUAAUUGGUUCAUUUUCUAUUAUAAAAACAUAAGGGGUUGUUUGGAAGAAAAGGCAGGAGGAGAAUAAUAUCACUAAUUUUGUACGACUUCCAUAAUACCCAGUAAAAACACUUAAUUUGUUUCUUUGUAUGUGUUUAUGAUCAAUACAAUAAAAAGGGCCUCAUUAUUUUAUUUAGCUCAUGUUACCAGCUUCUUAUUUCGGGCACUCAAAUUAUUGUUUCUUUGUAUGGGAGUAUGCAUUUAAUUUACCUACUGAUUUUAAAAGGUUGCUUUCAACCAUGCACUUCUAUGCUAUUGUGAAAUUGAGUAGGACUUAAACUGUAACUUUAGUUUUCAUUCACUGUCGGUGCAAUCUUAUUGAACUGCUGGUUAUAGUUUACUACAGGAAAUCCAAUACCCCUUCUAAAAUUCAUGCCACCCUGUUGCAAUGAGUUGGCGGUGGUUAAUAUAUGAGCUCAAUAGCACUAUGGGCCUCAAGAAUACCACACUUGAGGUUGCUAAUAUACCUGAUUCAAAUAUCAGAAACCAGUCAUUUGGAUAGCAGAGAGCAGAAUGAAAAAUUGGCUUGCAUUCCAGGUUCCAAGGUGCAUUUCUUUCCCUCAUGUACCUGAUCAUCUAGGUACUUCUAUCUAUUGUCUGUUAAGUUGUAUGUUAUCUGGAAUACCACCUCUUGAAGCCACCAUCCUAUCAUGUACCCUUAUCUUUGUUUUUCAUGCUUUACUUGCCUUUGCAUUUUGGGUAGGAUUUGGCUCGAGAUAGCAAUUGCCUAAAAGAUAAGUUAGCUUUGAGUUAUUUAUUCUGGGUUCUAUGCACUGUAGGUAAAUAUACAUAUGCCUAAUGAGUUCUCCGCGGUCUGCCAGUCUGCAACACAUAACUCAUACAUACUUAUACACUGAUACAAGGUUUGAUGGCAUGAUUCUACCUCAUUAUUGUACAGUGCAUUCAACCUGUUGUUGCUUUCUUCCAACCCAGAUUCUUGUGUUUACGGUUGACACCUACUGGUAGUCCUCCUCAGUCCUAACCUGGACGGUAGCGGAGGCGUGUAUGUUGCAGAUGGCUCCGAGGCGCUCGAGCAAAUGGCCCCUUCAUCUCCCAUCAAGUGAUCCAAGGAUGGCUAGGUGCAUAUGUAAUGGAUAUUCUGGCUCGGAUCUAUUAUUCAUGCCACAGUGGGGUGAGCUUAUCUCGAUCCUCUAGCCUCAAGAGCUCUUACCAGAUCAAUAUCUUUAUGCGCUGGACAUUGUCUACUGACAACAUGUGAAGAUAGUGAGGGUUGCUACCAGAGCAUAGCUGUUUGCGCUGGAUAAUGAAUGAGCACGAAUCGGAAGCUACUUUCAGUCAAUAGAAAAUCCGUGUUGCCUGAGACCAAGCUCAAGGAUGGGGAUAGCUGGGGUAAUUUAUUAGGUUGCUACCGCCUCCUAAGUUUGUACAUAAUGAGACCAUCCGGUAGUAAUUUUUGCUGCAAAUAUAAGUUCUCAUGCAAUAAAUUCAAGUUUGAAUUUGUUACUUGUGCCUCCGCCUCCUUAGUUUGUACAUAGUGUUAUUUCCUGCAGGACAAUGAUAUUAGACAUUCUCUAAAUUUCUAUAGAAUUUACAUGUGAAUUCCACCAGUCUUG